AAAAUGGCCCACUUCCCACUGGCGAAAACUCAUGAAAUUUGGCAGGACGACCGGGCCUGGUGAAAAAUUCGAUAUUCUGAAGUCACCCAAACAAUAAAAUGCAAAAUGGCUCCAUAGCGCCCCCUAAGGUGGAAAUUCACACUAUUGACUGUCACGCCUGUACGCUUUGUCAUAUUGACACAAAAAUUGACACACAUAUGUAUCUCAAUAAGAUCUACAAAAAAGUCAGUGCGGCCGUAUCUGUCAAAAUUACGGUUAAAGGGUUAUUUCGCAUUUUUUUCCGAUCCGCACACAUUGGAAUUUCGCUAACUCCUCCGAAGGCUUUCGUUCCACCGGCACCACAUUUGCUCAGGCCAAUCUACACCCCGUGGCCAUUAAAAGUUAUCAAAAUCAUGACGCUGCACCCCAAGGUUUAGGUUCUAGGGGGCGCCAAAGAUAACACUAAAAUCCACAUAUUUAAAAGUCUUAUAACUUUUUAUUUUUGUCCUCACUGGCCUCCAAGUUUUCUAGGAUGAUGCAAUGUCCAGCCAUCAACACAUUUGUGAAGGAAUUUUUACUCCCCAAAAGAGCGCCCCCCCAUGGCAGGAGAAAAAAGUCCAAUUUUUCUUGUCCCCUAAGGUGAAAAUACACAUUGUUCAGUGUCACGCCUACACGCUUUGUCAAAAUGACACAAAAAUUGACACACACAUGUAACUCAAUAAGAUCUACGAAAAAGUCAAUGCGCGCGUAUCUGUCAAAUGUACGGUUAAAGGGUUAUCUCGCAUUUUUUGCCGAUCCGCACACAUUGGAAUUUCGCUAACUCCUCCGAAGGCUUUCGUUCCACCGGCACCACAUUUGCUCAGGCCAAUCUACACCCCGUGGCCAUUAAAAGUUAUCAAAAUCAUGACGCUGCACCCCAAGGUUUAGGUUCUAGGGGGCGCCAAAGAUAACACUAAAAUCCACAUAUUUAAAAGUCUUAUAACUUUUUAUUUUUGUCCUCACUGGCCUCCAAGUUUUCUAGGAUGAUGCAAUGUCCAGCCAUCAACACAUUUGUGAAGGAAUUUUUACUCCCCAAAAGAGCGCCCCCCCAUGGCAGGAGAAAAAAGUCCAUUUUUUCUUGUCCCCUAAGGUGAAAAUACACAUUGUUGAGUGUCACGCCUAUACGCUUUGUCAAAAUGACACAAAAAUUGACACACACAUGUAACUCAAUAAGAUCUACGAAAAAGUCAAUGCGCGCGUAUCUGUCAAAUGUAUGGUUAAAGGGUUUUUUCGCAUUUUUUGCCGAUCCGCACACAUUGGAAUGUGGCUAACUCCUCCUAAGGCUUUCAUUCCACCGGCACCACAUUUGCUCAGGCCAAUCUACACCCCAUGGCCAUUAAAAGUUAUUCAAAUCAUGACGCUGCACCCCACGGUUUAGGUUCUAGGGGGCGCCAAAGAUAACCCUAAAAUCCACAUAUUUAAAAGUUUUAUAACUUUUUAUUUUUGUCCUCACUGGCCUCCAAGUUUUCUAGGAUGAUGCAAUGUCCAGCCAUCAACACAUUUGUGAAGGAAUUUUUACUCCCCAAAAGAGCGCCCCCCCAUGGCAGGAGAAAAAAGUCAAUUUUUUCUUGUCCCCUAAGGUGAAAAUACAUAUUGUUGAGAUUCACGCCUAUACGCUUUGUCAUAUUGACACAAAAUUUGACAAUCACGUGCCUUGCCUGGUAUCAUUUUUUUCAGCACAACCUCACCUGUGCGAAUUUACAGUUAUUUUAUCAUGUUGACAUACUGAAUUUACACAAUGGACCCAAAUUCACACACAAAACAUAAAAUCCGAGUGGAAAAAGUAACAUUUUUACUGUGAAAACCACAAAUAUGUGUGAUGAACUGUUUUUAAAACUUAAACUUCAAAUAAAAAUUGUAAACUUCAAAACAUAUGCAAAUUUUUAACAAAGAACAUAGUGAUUUACCUCUAUUUACAUCAAAAUGCAGGCAAUGGCCCAGGCGUUCUUUGUAAAAUUAUUUACAAAACACUGUAUAGUCUCACAAAUGUCACUUUUUAUUUAUGCCACUACAAAAAAACAUGAUGUAAAUGAUGCAUGAUGUAAAACAUGAUGUAAAAAACUUGUGUAGAUCCUCCUCUAUGUCAGUCCAUGUGUAAUUUUUCCAUAAUUCUUUGUUUUUUGCAGCAUUUUUGUUAGUGUAACUGCAGAUUGUGCUGACAGUGUCUAUGGCACAAAAAAAAAAAAAAUUUAAAAUGCCUCAACAUGAACCCCUGGUGGUCUCUGAGGGUGAAACCUGCUAACUGCUGCAGCUCUGUCAGCUUCAGUCUCCCAUGCAGAGCUCUGAGCGCAUGUGUGGCUCUGCACCCUUAGCAGCGUUGCUAACUCCUCAGUAAGGAAAGCCUGCUUCAUGUCAGAGUCUCUAAACUCCAGAAGAAGUCGAUAAAAGUCCCUUUCUUUCUAAAAAAAAGUCGUUAGGGGGUCUGAAAAGUCAUUGAAUCUAACAACAAAGUCGCUAGGUUUGCAACUACGUGUCCCAGACUGCAUCCCUGCUGAGAGUCCCUCCCUCGCUUCUCAUGUUGCAGGAAGAACGUAAGCACCCGCCCCUUGUCAAUCAGUCACCAUAUAAUUUUGGAUUGGUUGUUGUGGUGAAGUUUUCCACCAAUAGGAGAGAUGUUGUGGUGUGUUUUUUUCUUUUGGCAAGCCUUUUCCGCCUGUAAGACCUGUCGCUAAUGUCUGCAUGCUAUGUUUUCCUGUCUCAUACAGCGCGAUCGAGCGCCGAACGUGAUCAAAAUAAGCAGAAAAAAAGUAUCGCGGACAUAAUUUAUCAUAACUCUGGUUUUAUUUGGCCUAUCAACACAAUUUAAAAACUGGUAUAUAGGUUGAGGUCCUCACUUUUGAGAUAAGUUGAAACGGAGAGUCAACGAGGCUCCGUCUUGCAGCUACAUCCGGUUAAAUAUGUCAUGUGACUUGAACGCACACACAGACACACACACACGCACACACACACACACACACACACACACACACACACACACACACACACACACACACACUCAGAGUCUGGUUUUUAGCACCUGCAAAAACAUGCUAUUUACAUAUUUGACAAGAAUGCAGAGGCUCCUUUUGCCCCUGAAAAAAAUCAAAUUUCAAACACAACUUGACUGCUCAAUUCUCCAAAAGACAACCAUGAAGCUCCAUCCAAACCUGAAGCAGGCAGUUGGUGCAUGUGUACAGUAACCUGAGGGGAGUGAGGUGAGUGCUUCUGAGGAGAACAUGAGCAGUGAAGAUUCACCUUGGAGCUAGAACAGAGACAUGCACAUGAUUAUACAGGGGCAGGGGCUCAAGUUUUUUCCAGUCGUUUAUACAAUAUGGAAAUUAAUGUGAAAUUAAAACACAAAGUAUUAAUAGAAAGGUUAUGACUGUCCUGUGUAGGUGACAGUGAUAUCCAAUAGGCUAGGCACUCACGAGGCUGGCUGUGGCAAGUGUAAGUGAAAGCAACACGCACUGGCAAGAAGAACAGCAAACGCCGAUGAAGGAAAAGGGUCUUUGCAGUGAUGGGCGUUACCAGAGAGGGCGAUGGCCAGAGGACACAAAUGGGACGGGGAGGCAGCACGUUGGGGGGGGACGCGACACGGCUCGGGCCCGCCAGUGCCCCAACGGGGUCCUAGUUUCUUUUUUCUCCCCUUUGAACUGGAAAAUGGCCCACUUCCCACUGGCGAAAACUCAUGAAAUUUGGCAGGACGACCGGGCCUGGUGAAAAAUUUGAUAUUCUGAAGUCGCCCAAACAAUACAAUGCAAAAUGGCUCCAUAGCGCCCCCUAAGGUGAAAAAUUCACCUGACGCCUGUACGCUUUGUCAAAAUGACACAAAAAUUGACACACACAUGUAUCUCAAUAAGAUCUACAAAAAAGUCAGUGCGGGCGUAUCUGUCAAAUGUACGGUUAAAGGGUUAUUGCGCAUUUUUUGCCGAUCCGCACACAUUGGAAUUUCGCUAACUCCUCCGAAGGCUUUCGUUCCACCGGCACCACAUUUGCUCAGGCCAAUCUACACCCCAUGGCCAUAAAAAGUUAUUCAAAUCAUGACGCUGCACCCCACGGUUUAGGUUCUAGGGGGCGCCAAAGAUAACCCUAAAAUCCACAUAUUUCAAAGUCUUAUAACUUUUUAUUUUUGUCCUCACUGGCCUCCAAGUUUUCUAGGAUGAUGCAAUGUCCAGCCAUCAACACAUUUGUGAAGGAAUUUUUACUCCCCAAAAGAGCGCCCCCCAUGGCAGGAGAAAAAAGUCCAUUUUUUCUUGUCCCCUAAGGUGAAAAUACACAUUGUUGAGUGUCACGCCUAUACGCUUUGUCAAAAUGACACAAAAUUUGACACACACAUGUAACUCAAUAAGAUCUACAAAAAAGUCAAUGCGCGCGUAUCUGUCAAAUGUACAGUUAAAGGGUUAUUCCGCAUUUUUUGCCGAUACGCACACAUUGGAAUUUCGCUAACUCCUCCGAAGGCUUUCGUUCCACCGGCACCACAUUUGCUCAGGCCAAUCUACACCCCAUGGCCAUUAAAAGUUAUUCAAAUCAUGAUGCUGCACCCCAUGGUUUAGGUUCUAGGGGGCGCCAAAAAUAACCCAAAAAUCCACAUUCUUAAAUGUUUUAUAACUUUUUAUUUUUGUCCUCACUGGCCUCCAAGUUUUCUAGGAUGAUGCAAUGUCCAGCCAUCAACACAUUUGUGAAGGAAUUUUUACUCCCCAAAAGAGCGCCCCCCAUGGUAGGAGAAAAAAGUCAAUUUUUUCUUGUCCCCUUACAUGAAAAUACACAUUGUUGAGUGUCACGCCUGAACGCUUUGUCAUAUUGACACAAAAAUUGACAAUCAUGUGUAUCUCAAUUAGAUCUACGAAAAAGUCAAAGAGCGCGUAUCUGUAUAAUGUACGGUUAAAGGGCUAUUUUGCAUUUUUGCGGAUUCGCACACAUUGGAAUGUGGCUAUCUCCUCCUAAGGCUUUCGUCCCACCGAUACCAAAUUUGCUCAGGGCAAUCUACACCCCAUGCCCAUUCAAAGUUGUAAAAAUCAUGACGCUGCACCCCACGGUUUACGUUCUAGGGGGCGCCAAAGAUGACCCAAAAAUCCACAUUCUUAAAAGUCAUUUUGGCCACUGCAGGAGUACAGAGUACUGCAGUUCUAGGGGGCGCCAAAGAUGACCCAAAAAUCCACAUUCUUAAAAGUCUUUUUGGCCACUGCAGGAGUACAGAGUACUGCAGGAUACACACACAUAUACACACACGCCAACAUACACACACACACACACACACACAGACACACACACACACUCAGAGUCUGUUUUUUAGCACCUGCAAAAACAUGCUGUUUACAUAUUUGACAAGAAUGCAGAGGCUUCCUUUUGCCCCUGAAAAAAAUCAAAUUUCAAACACAACUUGACUGUUCAUUUCUCCAAAAGACAACCAUGAAGCUCCAUUUCAAACCUGAAGCAGAUAGUUGGUGCAUGUGUACAGUAACCUGAGGGGAGUGAGGUGACUAUUUCUGAGGAGAACAUGAGCAGUGAAGAUUCACCUUGGAGCUAGAACAGGGACGUGCACAUGAUUAUACAGGGGCAGGGGCUCAAGUUUUUUCCA